UUAUUCGGUGGUAAAUACGUAUACCAAAUCAGGAAUGCUACACGGAAGAUCAGCAUGGCCUUGCGCGUAGAUGACACGCAAAAUCGUGAGGCAUUCCACAUUAUG